GGGGAAUUUUGGACAAUGGGGGCAACCCUGAUCCAGCCAUGCCGCGUGAGUGAAGAAGGCCUUCGGGUUGUAAAGCUCUUUCGCGAGGGAAGAAAUUGCACUGGACAAUACCUGGUGUAGAUGACGGUACCUUGAUAAGAAGCACCGGCUAACUACGUGCCAGCAGCCGCGGUAAUACGUAGGGUGCGAGCGUUAAUCGGAAUUACUGGGCGUAAAGCGUGCGCAGGCGGUUUCGUAAGACAGGUGUGAAAUCCCCGGGCUUAACCUGGGAACUGCGCGUGUGACUGCGAGGCUAGAGUACGGCAGAGGGAGGUAGAAUUCCACGUGUAGCAGUGAAAUGCGUAGAGAUGUGGAGGAAUACCGAUGGCGAAGGCAGCCUCCUGGGCCAGUACUGACGCUCAUGCACGAAAGCGUGGGGAGCAAAC
rnacentral:rRNA from 1 species